rnacentral:rRNA from 1 species
UGGCGGCACGCCUAAUACAUGCAAGUCGAACGAAGUAGCAAUACUUAGUGGCAGACGGGUGAGUAACAUGUAGGUAUCUUCCCAUUGGUGAGGAAUAACACGAGGAAACUUGUGCUAAUACCUCAUAAGUCUUUACGGAGAAAGCUUUAUGCGCCGAUGGAUGAGCCUGCACUUGAUUAGUUUGUUGGUAGGGUAAUGGCCUACCAAGACAAUGAUCAAUAGCUGAUUUGAGAGGAUGAUCAGCCACAUUGGGACUGAGACACGGCCCAAACUCCUACGGGAGGCAGCAGUAGGGAAUCUUGCACAAUGGGGGAAACCCUGAUGCAGCGAUGCCGCGUGAGUGAAGAAGGCCUUUGGGUUGUAAAGCUCUUUCGUCGGGGAAGAAAAUGACUGUACCCGAAUAAGAAGGU